AGCAUGUUCAACAGGAUUCUAGAGAGAGAGAAGAUGCCUGAGUAAUGGAGGAGAAGCGUUCUGGUGCCUAUUUUUAUAGGUGCCUGCACAUGCAAAAUUCACUUUUUGGACAUUCUGGUACAUUUAUUUGACUCCCUGGGUCAUAUUAAGACACUCCUAGUGUGUUAGAAGUACGCCCCCUACUUAUUUCACAUUUUUGAGAGUUUAUCCAAUCCGGUUCAAGAACCAUUGUUUCAAAUUUGGCGGCCUGGAUACUCUGCAUUCGCUUGACCAAUCACAGAACCAGCUUCGCCCCGCCCCCCCAGACAAACCUGGACUCCUAAAUGUACCUGAAACAUUUCGUUUCAGUCAGUCCAGUCACAGACAAAAGAAGAAGAAGUCACUCGCUGCGCAGUCUACCAUAGGAGGUGGCGCUAAUGCACCUUUCAGUUGGUUGCCACCCGCCAUUUAAAAGACAAAAGAAGAAGUCACUCAGGUUGAAGAAGCGCCCACUUGCUGCUUCCCCAAACUUAAGUACAUGCUUGAUACUUACUUGAUGUAUGUACUCCGGAAGUUUCUUUGUUUAUAAUCUAGCUCCCCUCCUGUGUAAGGAAUGCUAAUUGCUAGAAUAGUUGAUGCUAACAGCUACAGCAACAGAGAGAGACAGUGUUGCAAGGUGCUGACACGCAAUUUGGAUGAGUCCAAGCCUCUCCAGCAUUUGUCCGGUUCAAAUCGUCUGAUAUAUGGCUGGCGCAGCUACCGAAACUCGAGGAGGUUGCUUCUCAAACUGACGCCACUGCAGGCUGUGGACACGCGGCUACCUUGUAGAAGAGUUGUUGCUCACCUCAGGAGCAAAGAUUAUGUGGAAAAUGUGAUGGAGACCAUCUAUAAUAAAGUCCUGCUGGACUCAGGUUGUUCUAUGGAGGACCUUGUGAACAUCCCUGUCCCACCGGCCCUCUGAGCAGAAUUUGAGCAACCUGACAGAAAGGAGAGUGGUGUCAAGGAAAACUGCUGCAUCCUCCACCUGUACAGCAGCUGCACUGCUUCCGAUGUCUUCCAACACGUGAAGACAAAAAAGGUCCGCACAUCUCCCCAGCCAACUGCUCAUGACUGUACCUGUUCCACUCCAAAAACUAUGCUUUUAACAUAACUAUUAAUCCCGUUCAUUUUGUGGUCUGCACAUUGAACUGUGAAGGUAACUUAUCCAGCAUUAUAGUGCUGGUGCAUUGGUUGACAAUAAAGUUGGCUUUGACUAUUGCUGUUUCA
rnacentral:lncRNA from 1 species